AGUCAUAUGCUUGUCUCAAAGACUAAGCCAUGCAUGUCUAAGUUUAAACGAUUAGAACUGUGAGACUGCGGACGGCUCAUUAUAUCAGUUAUAGUUCAUUUGAUGGUCAAUCACUACAAGGAUAACCGUAGUAAUUCUAGAGCUAAUACUUGCACUACAUGCCUGGUAACAGGUUGCACUUAUUAGAUUUCCCACCAAUGCGCUUGCGCUUCGGUGAAUCAUAGUAAUUCAGCGGAUCUCUUCGGAGACGCUUCAUUCAAAUUUCUGCCCUAUCAGCUUUCGAUGGUAGUGUAUUGGACUACCAUGGCUUUGACGGGUAACGGAGAAUUAGGGUUCGAUUCCGGAGAGGGAGCCUGAGAAACGGCUACCACAUCUAAGGAAGGCAGCAGGCGCGCAAAUUACCCAAUCCCAACGCGGGGAGGUAGUGACAAGAAAUAACAACAACUAACCUAUCACAGGUGAGUUGAUUGGAAUGAGUACAAUGUAAACACCUUAACGACGAUCAAU
rnacentral:rRNA from 1 species